rnacentral:tRNA from 1 species
GGAAGUGUGCCCGAGUACAAGGGACUACUUUGAUAGAGUAAGCACAGAAAUAAACCUCUCUCUUCCC